CUACGGGACGCUCCAGUGGGGAAUAUUGGACAAUGGGCGCAAGCCUGAUCCAGCAAUGCCGCGUGAGUGAAGACGGCCUUAGGGUUGUAAAACUCUUUCGCUAGGGAAGAUAAUGACUGUACCUAGUAAAGAAGUCCCGGCUAACUCCGUGCCAGCAGCCGCGGUAAUACGGAGGGGACUAGCGUUGUUCGGAAUUACUGGGCGUAAAGAGUUCGUAGGCGGACUGACAAGUUAGAGGUGAAAUCCCAGGGCUCAACCCUGGAACUGCCUUUAAAACUGUCAGUCUAGAGACCGGAAGAGGUUAGGGGAAUACCUAGUGUAGAGGUGAAAUUCGUAGAUAUUAGGCGGAACACCAGUGGCGAAGGCGCCUAACUGGUCCGGUACUGACGCUGAGGAACGAAAGCGUGGGGAGCAAACAGGAUUAGAUACCCUUGUAGUC
rnacentral:rRNA from 1 species